rnacentral:rRNA from 1 species
GGCGCAGCCUGAUGCAGCCAUGCCGCGUGUGUGAAGAAGGCCUUCGGGUUGUAAAGCACUUUCAGUCAGGAGGAAAGGUUAGUAGUUAAUACCUGCUAGCUGUGACGUUACUGACAGAAGAAGCACCGGCUAACUCCGUGCCAGCAGCCGCGGUAAUACGGAGGGUGCGAGCGUUAAUCGGAAUUACUGGGCGUAAAGCGUACGCAGGCGGUUUGUUAAGCGAGAUGUGAAAGCCCCGGGCUCAACCUGGGAACUGCAUUUCGAACUGGCAAACUAGAGUGUGAUAGAGGGUGGUAGAAUUUCAGGUGUAGCGGUGAAAUGCGUAGAGAUCUGAAGGAAUACCGAUGGCGAAGGCAGCCACCUGGGUCAACACUGACGCUCAUGUACGAAAGCGUGGGGAGCAAACAGGAUUAGAUACCCUGGUAGUCCACGCCGUAAACGAUGUCUACUAGAAGCUCGGAACCUCGGUUCUGUUUUUCAAAGCUAACGCAUUAAGUAGACCGCCUGGGGAGUACGGCCGCAAGGUUAAAACUCAAAUG